CUACGGGGGGCUGCAGUAGGGAAUAUUGGACAAUGGGCGAAAGCCUGAUCCAGCAACGCCGCGUGUGCGAUGACGGCCUUCGGGUUGUAAAGCACUUUUAGAGGAGAUGAGAAAGGACAGUAUCCUCAGAAUAAGCCUCGGCGAACUACGUGCCAGCAGCCGCGGUAAAACGUAGGAGGCAAGCGUUAUCCGGAGUUAUUGGGCGUAAAGCGCGUGCAGGCGGUCUAGCAAGUUGGAUGUGAAAGCUCCCGGCUUAACCGGGAGAGGUCGUUCAAUACUGUUAGACUAGAGAAUGGGAGAGGGAGGUGGAAUUCUGGGUGUAGUGGUGAAAUGCGUAGAUAUCCAGAGGAACACCAGUGGCGAAAGCGGCCUCCUGGACCAUUUCUGACGCUAAGACGCGAAAGCUAGGGUAGCAAACGGGAUUAGAUACCCGCGUAGUC
rnacentral:rRNA from 1 species